rnacentral:rRNA from 1 species
AUUGAACGCUGGCGGCAUGCCUUACACAUGCAAGUCGAACGGUAACGGGCCUUCGGGUGCCGACGAGUGGCGAACGGGUGAGUAAUGUAUCGGAACGUACCUUUCAGUGGGGGAUAACGUAGCGAAAGUUACGCUAAUACCGCAUAUUCUGUGAGCAGGAAAGCAGGGGAUCGCAAGACCUUGCGCUGAUUGAGCGGCCGAUAUCAGAUUAGCUAGUUGGUGAGGUAAAGGCUGACCAAGGCGACGAUCUGUAGCGGGUCUGAGAGGAUGAUCCGCCACACUGGAACUGAGACACGGUCCAGACUCCUACGGGAGGCAGCAGUGGGGGAUUUUGGACAAUGGGGGCAACCCUGAUCCAGCCAUGCCGCGUGAGUGAAGAAGGCCUUCGGGUUGUAAAGCUCUUUCGGCCGGGAAGAAAUCGUAUCAGCUAAUACCUGGUGCGGAUGACGGUACCGGCAUAAGAAGCACCGGCUAACUACGUGCCAGCCGCCGCGGUAAAAC